rnacentral:rRNA from 1 species
UUGGCGGCGUGGAUAAGACAUGCAAGUCGAACGAGAGAAUUGCUAGCUUGCUAAUAAUUCUCUAGUGGCGCACGGGUGAGUAACACGUGAGUAACCUGCCCCCGAGAGCGGGAUAGCCCUGGGAAACUGGGAUUAAUACCGCAUAGUAUCGAAAGAUUAAAGCAGCAAUGCGCUUGGGGAUGGGCUCGCGGCCUAUUAGUUAGUUGGUGAGGUAACGGCUCACCAAGGCGAUGACGGGUAGCCGGUCUGAGAGGAUGUCCGGCCACACUGGAACUGAGACACGGUCCAGACACCUACGGGUGGCAGCAGUCGAGAAUCAUUCACAAUGGGGGAAACCCUGAUGGUGCGACGCCGCGUGGGGGAAUGAAGGUCUUCGGAUUGUAAACCCCUGUCAUGUGGGAGCAAAUUAAAAAGAUAGUACCACAAGAGGAAGAGACGGCUAACUCUGUGCCAGCAGCCGCGGUAAUACAGAGGUCUCAAGCGUUGUUCGGAAUCACUGGGCGUAAAGCGUGCGUAGGCUGUUUCGUAAGUCGUGUGUGAAAGGCGCGGGCUCAACCCGCGGACGGCACAUGAUACUGCGAGACUAGAGUAAUGGAGGGGGAACCGGAAUUCUCGGUGUAGCA